rnacentral:rRNA from 1 species
UGGUUUGUGUUCCAAAUGAUUUAUCGCCGUAGGAUGGGACUGCGGCCUAUCAGUUUGUUGGUGAGGUAAUGGCCCACCAAGACUAUUACAGGUACGGGCUCUGAGAGGAGUAGCCCGGAGAUGGGUACUGAGACACGGACCCAGGCCCUAUGGGGCGCAGCAGGCGAGAAAACUUUGCAAUGUGCGAAAGCACGACAAGGUUAAUCCGAGUGGUUUCUGCUAAAGGAACCUUUUGUCAGUCCUAGAAACACUGACGAAUAAGGGGUGGGCAAGUUCUGGUGUCAGCCGCCGCGGUAAAACCAGCACCUCAAGUGGUCAGGAUGAUUAUUGGGCCUAAAGCAUCCGUAGCCGGUUCUACAAGUCUUCCGUUAAAUCCACCUGCUUAACAGAUGGGCUGCGGAGGAUACUAUGGAGCUAGGAGGCGGGAGAGGCAAGCGGUACUUAGUGGGUAGGGGUAAAAUCCGUUGAUCCAUUGAAGACCACCAGUGGCGAAGGCGGCUUGCCAGAACGCACUCGACGGUGAGGGAUGAAAGCUGGGGGAGCAAACCGGAUUAGAUACCC